rnacentral:rRNA from 1 species
UCGAGAGGCUUCGGCAAUGGGGGAAACCCUGACCGAGCGACGCCGCGUGCGGGAUGAAGGCUUUCGGGUUGUAAACCGCUUUCAGGUGGGAAGAAAUGCUGGCGAGUAAAUAAUUCGCCGGAACUGACGGUACCACCAGAAGAAGCUCCGGCUAACUCCGUGCCAGCAGCCGCGGUAACACGGGGGGAGCAAGCGUUGUUCGGAUUCAUUGGGCGUAAAGGGCGCGUAGGCGGCUUUGCAAGUCUGACGUGAAAUGUACCGGUUCAACCGGGGCGCUGUGUCGGAAACUGCAUGGCUUGAGGUCGAGGGAGGAGAGUGGAAUUCCUGGUGUAGCGGUGAAAUGCGUAGAUAUCAGGAGGAACACCCGUGGCGAAGGCGGCUCUCUAUCUCGAUUCUGACGCUGAGGCGCGAAAGCCAGGGGAGCAAACGGGAUUAGAUACCCCCGUAGUCC